CAGUAACGGCGAGUGAAGUGGCAACAGCUCAAAUUUGAAAUCUGGCUCCUUCGGGGUCCGAAUUGUAAUUUGUAGAGAGUGCUUCGGGCGAGACCUCGGUCUAAGUCCAUUGGAACAUGGUGUCAUAGAGGGUGAGAAUCCCGUAUGCGACCGUGGCUCGAGCCCAUGUGAAGCCUCUUCGACGAGUCGAGUUGUUUGGGAAUGCAGCUCAAAACGGGUGGUAAAUUUCAUCUAAAGCUAAAUACUGGCUGGAGACCGAUAGCGCACAAGUAGAGUGAUCGAAAGAUGAAAAGCACUUUGGAAAGAGAGUCAAACAGUACGUGAAAUUGUUGAAAGGGAAGCGCUUGCAACCAGACCUGCCCGUAGGCGAUCAGCCGCUGUUCUCAGCGGUGCACUCGCUCUGCGAUCAGGCCAGCAUCGGUUUCGGCGGUCGGAUAAAGGCCUUGGGAAUGUAGCUUCCCUUCGGGGGAGUCUUAUAGCCCUCGGUGUAAUGCGGCCAGCCGGGACCGAGGACCGCGCUUCGGCUAGGAUGCUGGCGUAAUGGUUGUAAGCGACCCGUCUUGAAACACGGACCAAGGAGUCUAACAUCUAUGCGAGUGUUUGGGUGUCAAACCCAUACGCGGAAUGAAAGUGAACGGAGGUGAGAACCCUUAAGGGCGCAUCAUCGACCGAUCCAGAUGUCUUCGGAUGGAUUUGAGUAUGAGCAUAGCUGUUGGGACCCGAAAGAUGGUGAACUAUGCCUGAAUAGGGUGAAGCCAGAGGAAACUCUGGUGGAGGCUCGCAGCGGUUCUGACGUGCAAAUCGAUCGUCAAAUUUGGGUAUAGGGGCGAAAGACUAAUC
rnacentral:rRNA from 1 species